UUGAGCUAACCGAUACUAAUUGCUCGUGCGGCUUGACUAU
rnacentral:rRNA from 1 species